GAAAAUUGGGUGGUUAUGUUCAAUUCAAUAAUUACAGCCACAAUAAGUAAAGUUUUAAAAAAUUGCUAUAAAAAAGGUAAAUAAGAAAAAGAGUCGCAAUAAAAAGACAUUUCGGUGACGGAGUUAAAUUUUACCGGGAAUCUGCCGACGGGACUAAAGAGGCUAUGGACGCCGUGAGUGUAAGUAGUUAUUUCGAUUCAGUAAUGCGACUUUUGCAUAAAAUCGAGCUUCUUUGCUCUUUCAUUCGAGAAAUUUUACAGUUUUUUUGUUUGAUUUACAGGAUACGUUGGCUGGUUUGGGAACAUGUUUGCUUCCAUGUAUUGUACGGAUUGUGAAGAUUGAGAAUUCAAGCUGUUAAUGAUGGUAAUUGUUCAAAUCCCAUACAUUAUCUUAUCUGGUUGAUGCAGUUUGUUUCCAAAACUGGUUUUUGCUUUGUUGGCUGUUUCACUAUCUUAGUUAAGCUUCAGGACAAUUCGUUUUAAUAGAGUUUGAAUAACUGUCUUUUACUCUUAAAAUUCAGACUCAGGGUUAGUUUGAUAAUGUUUCAAAUUCUUAUCUAAAAGUUUGCAAGAGUUUGAGUUUGACACCAAGUGACUAGUUUGAUUUCUUCCCCACAACUACUUUGCUUGGAAUUUAUGUGAGAUUUGAUAAACUUGUAUCCAAUAAUUAUACUACUUCUGAUCUUUCUACCAGAACUCUUGUCACUUUACUUUGUCAAUCAAUUAAGAUUGGUAAUGUGAGAUAUAGUUGGACAGGUUACGACACCUUUUUAGACAAAAGGACUAGACUAGACUAGUAAAAGUAGUAGAGUUAGUGCAUGAUGAAACAAGGUUAAUUUGUUGUGGUGUGGUCCAGAAGGUUCCUUCUCUAAGGAUCAAACUAGUAACUCUAUUAUGGAUUUAUUGAUGAAGGUAAGACCCUGCCUAUGUUCUCUUUGGUGCUUUUGUUAUUGGACGUGGUGCUGCUCUUACUCAGCCUUUACUAAAAAAAAUUAAUAUCUAUUUCUAGUCUUUUUGUUGACCUGAAAUAAGUUCUCAAAAUAUUAUUAUCCUGCUUUUUCUUCCAAUACUUGUUAUCUUUUUUCGGUUGAGUCUUUGCCCUUGAUGUUUUGAUCCAUUAUCAAACCUUUCUCUUAGAUGAGAAACUAAUAUGAAUCUGACUCGGAUAGAAGAAAAUUCCUGGAAUUUAGCUUGAGUACUUUAGCAUCAUUCUUGGAGAAUAAUGAUACACUUAUAUGAUAACAAAGUAUGCUUUUAUGUGAUAUAUACAAUGCAGUUUACUUGCAGGGAUUUUGCUCAUAUUGUUAUGUGAUAAUCUAGUGAUAUUAAGCCAUAGAUUAUAAACAAGAUGCAUGCAACCUAGGUCCGCAUAAUCCAACAUGGGAAUAGCCGAGUCGAAUUGUAUGAUUUGGGUGAGAGUCAUUAACACCAUCUUCAGAAAUUGUUCUUCCUGAGUGUAUCAAUGAAUCUUUGUUGUGUGAUAUCAUUGCUGGAGAUAUAUUCAAGAAAAUCGUUGAAGCUGAAUUCUCCAUAGGCAGCUGAUUUCUUUUCAUUGACGAGCUGAGGUGCUGGACUUAUUUUUUUGUGCAGAGGUAGACUGUGAAGACUUGCAAAAGAUAGCCGCUUGAAAUCUUUGUUCACUGUUACACGAUGAACCACACUCUUGUAUAUGCCAUUGCUCAUGACUUC
rnacentral:lncRNA from 1 species